AUGUGAAAUAUGGGCUAUCAUCUUUCAAUACUGACUUGAAAUAUAGAGAAUACUCAUUGCUAGUCAUAU
rnacentral:snoRNA from 10 species